CCAGAGGGGGACAACAGUUGGAAACGACUGCUAAUACCGCAUACGAUCUAAUCUCGGCAUCGAGGAUAGAUGAAAGGUGGCCUCUACAUGUAAGCUAUCACUGAAGGAGGGGAUUGCGUCUGAUUAGCUAGUUGGAGGGGUAACGGCCCACCAAGGCGAUGAUCAGUAGCCGGUCUGAGAGGAUGAACGGCCACAUUGGGACUGAGACACGGCCCAG
rnacentral:rRNA from 1 species